rnacentral:rRNA from 1 species
AACGAACGCUGGCGGCAGGCUUAACACAUGCAAGUCGAACGCCCCGCAAGGGGAGUGGCAGACGGGUGAGUAACGCGUGGGAAUCUACCCAGUUCUACGGAACAACAGAGGGAAACUUCUGCUAAUACCGUAUACGCCCUAAGGGGGAAAGAUUUAUCGGAAUUGGAUGAGCCCGCGUAAGAUUAGCUAGUUGGUGAGGUAAUGGCUCACCAAGGCGACGACGGGUAGCCGGCCUGAGAGGGCGACCGGCCACACUGGGACUGAGACACGGCCCAGACUCCUACGGGAGGCAGCAGUGGGGAAUAUUGCACAAUGGGCGAAAGCCUGGUGCAGCGACGCCGCGUGAGGGAUGAAGGCCUUCGGGUUGUACACCUCUUUCAGUAGGGAAGAAGCGCAAGUGACGGUACCUACAGAAGAAGCACCGGCUAACUACGUGCCAGCAGCCGCCGUAAGAC